rnacentral:tRNA from 4 species
GCCGGAGUGGCGGAAUGGUCUACGCGCACGACUCAAAAUCGUGUGGGCGCAAGCCCUUGUGGGUUCAAGUCCCACCUCCGGCA